rnacentral:rRNA from 1 species
AUGUCCCUGCCUUCAUCUCCUUCUUUGGUGAGAGGCGGAAAAGUUGGCACCGAGGUGGUACAAGCAUCGGUGGACCAAAAGAUGACAUCGAUGGAGUAUCUGGUGCUCAACCUUUGCGACCCUACGCUACGCGAGAGAUCCCUCGCGGAGCUCUCUAAGGAGAGGGAGAUGUUUCCGGAUCUGGCCCCUUUGUUGUGGUACUCAUUCGGCACAAUUGCCGCGUUGGUCCAGGAGAUUCUAAGAAUCUACCCUGCGCUUUCGCCUCCAACUUUAACGUCUGCUGCAUCAACACGGGUUUGCAACGCACUCACACUUUUUCAGUGCGUUGCAUCACGCCCUGAGACCAGAAGCUCUUUCAUAGAAGCUGAUAUUCCAUUGUACCUGUACCCAUUCUUGCGUACCGUAGACAAGGCCCAAGCUUUUGAGCAAUUGCGGCUCGCCACUUUGGGUGUCAUUGGUGCUCUGGUAAAGGAUGAGAAUACUAAAGCUACUGAGUAUUUGCUCAAAUGUGAAACCAUUCCUUUGUGCUUGAAUAUCAUGGAGAUAGGCAAUGAGCCUUCAAAAACCGUGUCCACUUUCAUUCUCCUAAAGGUUCUGCGAAACGAACUUGGUCUGCAUCGCUGUUGUGACACUCGCGGUCCUUUCUAUGAUAUUGCUUUUGCUUUACAAAAGAGGGUUAACUCACCAGACGAACGGCCUUCGGCAAGGUUGCUGAGGUGCAUUAUCCAGUGUUACCUUAGGCUAUUAGAUCAUCCUAGGGGCCAUGCGGUGUUAAAAACAUGGUUUCCCAGCGUGCUACAGACCGGGACAUUCAAUGACUAUCUCACGAAGGAUCCUUCAAUGCAAGAGUGUCUGCAGCAACUGUUGGCUAAGAUGGAGGCUGGGAGUCCCAUCAGGUCGCUCCAUUUUCUCCGCUGCAGUGACAACGCUAUCAUACCAUGA